ACUAAAUGUUGCUGUCACGGUCUCUCGAAUCGCUUGAUCGAGAGCUAAGAGGGAAUCCGGUGUGGCGAAAGCCGAAGCCGGAGCUGCCCCCGCAACUGUAAGCGGCGAGCCGACGUCACCGAGUGCCACUGGGAGCAAUCCCGGGAAGGCCGACGAAGGCAUUGACCCGCGAGCCAGGAGACCUGCCGCGACAACGACUACGUC
rnacentral:ncRNA from 2 species